rnacentral:rRNA from 1 species
CCCUUAGAUGUUCUGGGCCGCACGCGUGCUACACUGAGUGGAUCAGCGGGUCAGGUUGCGCGAAAGCGUUUCCUAAUCUUUAAAUCCGCUCGUGAUGGGGAUUGACGGUUGCAAUUUUCUGUCAUGAACGAGGAAUACCUUGUAAGCGCGGGUCAUCAUCCCGCGCUGAAUACGUCCCUGCCCUUUGUACACACCGCCCGUCGCUCCUACCGAUUGAGUGGUCCGGUGAAGCUUUGGGAUCUGAGCGGAAAGAGCGUUUCGCUGUUUCUGCUCGGAAAACUCAGUCGAACCUUAUCAUUUAGAGGAAGGAGAAGUCGUAACA